UACUCCUACGGGAGGCAGCAGUGGGGAAUAUUGGGCAAUGGGGGAAACCCUGACCCAGCGACGCCGCAUGAGGGAAGAAGGUUUUCGGAUUGUAAACCUCUGUUCUUGGUGAAGAGGGGAAGACGGUAGCCAAGGAGGAAGCCCCGGCUAACUACGUGCCAGCAGCCGCGGUAAUA
rnacentral:rRNA from 1 species